rnacentral:lncRNA from 1 species
UUUUUUUUUAGUGACAAACAUUGACAAAAGUUUUCAGCGCUUGCGAAAUUUCAGCGUGAAACAACAAUUGUAGAAGCCGUGGCAAAAAAGGAAAAAGACCGCUCCCAUUUACCUUCUUUUUUUAUCUCCCCGGAGACCAGGAGUAUAUAUUGUUUGAUUUCUUCCAUAUGAAGUACUCCCCCGAUCCAAUCUUAGUAAGGCUGCCACACUUAUUAUGGAUCGGAGGGAGUACUAAGUAUAAAACUGACUUAACACAGUGACAGAACACUCCUCGCUAAUAUAAGUAUAAAACUUGCUUAACACAGAAUGUUGAUCAGUUUGCCAGUGCACACAUUCGAUUUGUUUCUAAAAGACUGAUGUUCUACCAUCCAAACACACGAAAAAGGAACAAAUUGUAACGCUGGUCUGGUUACAAACUCUAACUCAACAGCUUUUUGCACCGAGAAACCAAAGCCACUCUAAAAUUGCUCAAACGAUGAGAUAUUUAGGCAAAUAGUUUCGGUUGGGUGUGUGAUAUACACAUACCACAGCUCCCAGAGAAUCACAAGCAAAGCAGGGUAAAAGUAUCGCAUAUAUCCGUUUGCCAGGAUUCAGAAAAUCUCGCCGAGUUAUACCAUAGAGAGCAGCAGUACCAAGGGCAUGCACCAUGAAGCACCAAAACGCUAU